rnacentral:pre_miRNA from 1 species
CUGUGUAGGUGGUCAGAUGUGAUGUACUGUGUAGGUGGUCAGAUGUGAGGGACCUACACAGUACAUCACAUCUGACCACCUACACAGU